AUGAUACAGAGCACUAUGGCUAGGUGGGUGCUGUUUGUGCCUACACAGAAAUGCAGCAAUGUCUGUGAGGUCUCAAAACAGUAUAAGUGCACUGAGCAAUCCAAAGCAAAGUAUUUUGGACUCCAUCAAAAUUUCCUAGCAACGUCAGGAGACAUUAAAAUAUAUCUCCCUGGGAAAUACCAGAAACCGACAGCCAUUUCCAUAAUGGCUUGUAAUUUAGAUCAUAGUAACUGGCAGCCAAAAGAGUUGAUGCACUGGGGUGCAUCAAGCAUAGCACUGCCAGCCAUUCAAGGGAAGGGACUGUCCUGCUGCACCCUGUGCCCCUGUGCCACAGGGUCCUUCCCAUGGGGUGCUGACCUUCCUGAACUGAUCCUACAUGGGCUUCCCACAGGCAGCUGCUCUUCAAGAACUGCUCUAGAUAUGGGUCCGUACCAUGGGGUCCAUCCCUCAGGAGCAAACUGCUCCAACCUGGGUCCCCCAUGGGCAGCAGCUCCUGCCAGUUCACCUGCUCCUGCAUGGGCUCCUCUCCACAGGCUGCAGCUCCAGCCCAGAAUCUGCUCCUGCCAGGGUUCUCCACAGGCCGCAGCCUCUGUCAGUGCAGGUCCACCUGCUCCAUCGUGGUCUUCUCCACAGACUGCAGCGUGGAACCCUGCUCCACUGUGGUACUCCAUGGGCUGCAGGGGGACAUCCUGCUUCACCACGGUCCUCACCACAGGCCACAGGGGACUUCUGCUCUGGUGCCUGAAGCACCUCUCCCCCUCCUUCUUCACUGACCUUGGCACCUGCAAGGCUGUUUCUCACUCCUCUCUCUCCCCCAGCUGCUGUGUGGUGCAGCAUGUUUUUUUGUUUGUUUGUUUGUUAUGUUUUUUUGUUUUCCCUUUCUUAAAUAUGCUCUCACAGAGCAAAAAACAACAUUGCUUAUUGGCUUGGCUAUGGCCAGCAGUGGGGCCCUUAUCUAACAUGGGGGAACUUCUAGAUUCUUCUCACAGAAGCCACUCCAAAACUUCCAAAACCUCGCCACAUAAACCCACUACAGGGUUUCUUCCAGCUCAGGAUAUUCUGUAA
rnacentral:lncRNA from 1 species